rnacentral:rRNA from 1 species
GAUGAACGCUGGCGGCGUGCCUAAUACAUGCAAGUCGAGCGAACAGACGAGGAGCUUGCUCCUCUGACGUUAGCGGCGGACGGGUGAGUAACACGUGGAUAACCUACCUAUAAGACUGGGAUAACUUCGGGAAACCGGAGCUAAUACCGGAUAGUAUAUUGAACCGCAUGGUUCAAUAGUGAAAGACGGUUUUGCUGUCACUUAUAGAUGGAUCCGCGCCGCAUUAGCUAGUUGGUAAGGUAACGGCUUACCAAGGCAACGAUGCGUAGCCGACCUGAGAGGGUGAUCGGCCACACUGGAACUGAGACACGGUCCAGACCCCUACGGGAGGCAGCAGUAGGGAAUCUUCCGCAAUGGGCGAAAGCCUGACGGAGCAACGCCGCGUGAGUGAUGAAGGUCUUCGGAUCGUAAAACUCUGUUAUUAGGGAAGAACAAAUGUGUAAGUAACUAUGCACGUCUUGACGGUACCUAAUCAGAAAGCCACGGCUAACUACGUG